rnacentral:rRNA from 1 species
GACGAACGCUGGCGGCGUGCUUAACACAUGCAAGUCGAACGGUGAACCUCGCUUGCGGGGGGAUCAGUGGCGAACGGGUGAGUAACACGUGGGCAACCUGCCCUCAGCUCUGGGAUAACUCCAAGAAAUUGGGGCUAAUACCGGAUAUGACCGCUGACCGCAUGGUCUGGUGGUGGAAAGAUUUAUCGGCUGGGGAUGGGCCCGCGGCCUAUCAGCUUGUUGGUGGGGUAGUGGCCUACCAAGGCGACGACGGGUAGCCGGCCUGAGAGGGUGACCGGCCACACUGGGACUGAGACACGGCCCAGACUCCUACGGGAGGCAGCAGUGGGGAAUAUUGCGCAAUGGGCGAAAGCCUGACGCAGCGACGCCGCGUGGGGGAUGACGGCCUUCGGGUUGUAAACCUCUUUCAGCAGGGACGAAGCGGAAGUGACGGUACCUGCAGAAGAAGCACCGGCCAACUACGUGCCAGCCGCCGCCGUAACAC